rnacentral:rRNA from 1 species
CGGGGUGGGCCUUUUUGUUUGUUUGUUCUUUUUUUUACUGUCUUGUUUUUUUGGCCGCAGUAAAGAAAUGGAAUGGGAAGCGGCGGCCGAGAGCACCCCGUGGCCAGUAAUCAGUCCAUUUCUUCGUCUAUCUCUCUGUUCUUUCUCUGUAAAAAAGCCAAAGAUCUCUGCGGUGGAACGAAAGAAAUCGCCUUUGCUCUUGAACGGCCAGUGAGAGCCUGGGCGAUGCUGCUAGUGGAGUACUUAGAGAUUAAUUAGGAUCUUUGGCCGAGAAGAUCUGGAAUAGUAUUGAGCAAAAGUACUGCCAGUACUGCUAUUUUUAUGCUAUGACUUUUUGAGAGUCAUUAAAUCAGGGAGACUUCGUUUGCAGGAGAACAAAUAUUAAUUAAGCUAGUUCUUCCAUGCUUCUAUACAGGAGGAGCAUGUGUUUUUAGGGUGCCUAAGUUGACCUUUUGUUAGGAUAUAACCUCUACUAGUCAUUUUUUUUGACAACUUGAUCUUGCUGUUGUUUCUGCUGAGUGCCGACACAGCGGGGAUAUUUGCUGGCACAUGCCCCUAGUAGUUUGUCACCACUGCUAUAUUAGAUUAAUUAGGGGCAGCAAUAGUUCUUUUUUGUUGUGUAUAAAUAAUGGCGCUUAGCAUCUGGUAAGCAGGAUUUGGGUUCACACCACAGUCAUAAACAUACAGGAAUAAAUGCUGAAAUCUAGAUAUUUUGCAAUCAUUUCUUUUCUAGUUAUGCUUUUCUGAAUCCAGUUUUUUACUUUUUCAUAUUUGUGCUAUUAGUGAGUUACCCAUUUAAUUAUUUUCUUUUUUGCUUCUAUUUUAUGCGCUCAGGAGAUGGCUUGUGGAGUUUGUUUGAACCAUUGCAACUAUGAUAGUGAGGGAAGCGGUUUCAGCAUGUAUGUAUGGGAGCACUUCAAAAACGCAGGGGUUGUGCCAUGCAAUGAAAGGGUCCGUUUCAACAACAUGAUGGGAGCGAAGUGCACAGACACUCACAUGGAUGACGAAGGAUGCGACCCUGAGCAAAAGAAAUGCAAAAGGCAAAGAGCAAUGUGUUGAAGAUAUAGAGUCAGAAGAGGGAGGAUAUCAUGUAGAGUACACGGAAGUGUCGGAGGGCUUGCCUACACUGGUUUGUAACCUCUAAAUAUAUUCAUAUUUUUUCUAGAGUUUUAGUAGUUGAUACAGGACGUUAACUAGGAAAAACAUGAUCUUUAACUUGUUGUGUUGCCUUGUCUCCAUGCUUUUUGCUGUAGUUUUAAAAUAGCUAAUGCAUGAAUUUUGUUAACUAGCUACUUGGUGUCUAUGUAAGUUGCUAGUUGACUUGCUGAAAAAACAUCC